ACCCUCCGCUAAAAGGCCAUGCCAGGCUUGUUCUAAACCAAUUCUUGAGUUAGCAGCUGUUCUUCGAAAUGUAGUCAUUUACUCUUGAGGUCAAUGUGAAACCUCUAGCAGGUGCGUGAGCUUUUGACUAGUUGAGGCCUCUAGUUUCUCUUGGGGUUUCCUGGGUAGGGUGGAACAUUUUCAGUAGUGUUAUCUUGGUCUUUCCUCCAGCUAAAGAUGUAAACCAUUGGCCUGAAAGAGCCCGUGGGUGUGGUUUGGGCUGGCUUUGCUCCUGGGGUCCUCGGCGAUGUGGGGGCAGCCACAGAGGCACUCAGGGCCUGCUGGGAGGGUGGGGGCCCUGCUUUAGCUCUGGCCUGACAGGAAGGAAAGAGAAAUACGUGUGUUCUAACACAAAGAAAAACUGACUUCCUUCUCUCCAGAACAGGCUCCCUGCUCUCUUCUCUUGCAGAAAAGAUACCUACCUGAAUAAGAAAGAACAAACAGAACCAGCAGCGACCUGCAGUCACGUCUCAGGGCGAGAGUGCCUCCCUUCUCUCCUGUCUCAGCAGAGUGAGGCGGGAAGCACGACUUCCUGUGACCUGAUGACCAGCUGCCCAGAGGGACCCAGAGCCUCAGAGACCUGAGACCUGCUAGUUCCAUCUGUUCAUCCAGAAACUGGGGACCGAGGAGGGUAGAGACUUUGCCUGGUGACGCAGUGAGUUACCAGCCCCAAGGCUAGAGAACCAAGUCCUUGUCACUUUGUCAUUUUCUCGCUGUCUAGAUCAGAAGCCUGUGAACACUUCCCUGGAAACUAGGGGCUGAGAGUGCUCCUUUUCAGCACUGGGUUUUUCUACUCCUCACGCAGCCUCGGCAGUUUGGGUAAGCAAUGUAUUUUAACUUUGUUUUACAGUAGAGAAACUGACACAUAUAGAAUCCCCUGAGCCGCGGGUCCUUAGCAUACAGGUCCAUGAACUUGGAUGUGAAAAAAAUCACAUCUUUGUUUUCAUUAAUCUCUAUCAAAAAUUUAGCAUUUCCUUCAAUUAUGAAUAUAGGCAUCAAACCACAGUAGAACUAGCAGGAUUUGUGACUGUCCCCAGUAGAAGUCACAGAUGUUUCACGCCCUAUUGCAUGUUACAGGUACCUCAAAACAUUGUUUAUAAUUGUCACUUCUUGAAAUUAUGGUGGCUAUUAGAUCACUGCUACAUCAGUGAACAUAUACAUCAAUGCAUCAGUGAACACAUGUAUUACUAUACUUUAAAAAAUAUUUCAGUGUAAUCGAUUUCCUUUGUAACCCAACGUAUUUUGUUUUAUGGAUUUCAAAAAGAGGCAUUACCAGACUACCAGAGAUUAAGAAAAAAAAGUCAAGAGUCUCUGUUUAUACAUGGAUGUUUAUUGCC